GAAUAUUGGACAAUGGGGGCAACCCUGAUCCAGCCAUGCCGCGUGUGUGAAGAAGGCCUUUUGGUUGUAAAGCACUUUAAGUAGUGAAGAAGACUCCUUGGUUAAUCCCCAUGGACCACGACAUUAGCUGCAGAAUAAGCACCGGCUACCUCUGUGCCAGCAGCCGCGGGAAUACAGAGGGUGCAAGCGUUAAUCGGAAGUAUUGGGCGUAAAGCGAGCGUAGGUGGCUUGAUAAGUCAGAUGUGAAAUCCCCGGGCUUAACCUGGGAACUGCAUCUGAUACUGUUAGGCUAGAAUAGGUGAGAGGAAGGUAGAAUUCCAGGUGUAGCGGUGAAAUGCGUAGAGAUCUGGAGGAAUACCGAUGGCGAAGGCAUCCUUCUGGCAUCAUAUUGACACUGAGGUUCGAAAGCGUGGGUAGCAAAC
rnacentral:rRNA from 1 species